rnacentral:rRNA from 1 species
UACGUAGGGUCCGAGCGUUGUCCGGAAUUACUGGGCGUAAAGAGCUCGUAGGCGGCUUGUCGCGUCUGCUGUGAAAACUGGAGGCUCAACCUCCAGCCUGCAGUGGGUACGGGCAAACUAGAGUGCGGUAGGGGAGAUUGGAAUUCCUGGUGUAGCGGUGGAAUGCGCAGAUAUCAGGAGGAACACCGAUGGCGAAGGCAGAUCUCUGGGCCGUAACUGACGCUGAGGAGCGAAAGCAUGGGGAGCGAACAGG